rnacentral:snRNA from 1 species
ACCAGCACUAAUGCACCG